rnacentral:lncRNA from 1 species
ACAAUAUUGCCUCUUUGGCUGCUCCUCUUCCAAAGGUAUAAAACUGUUAAACCUGCUUGAGCAUUCAGUUUUGAUUUUAUCAGACACUCUACAAUCAGAAUAUUAGGGUCAUAUUUAUCAGUUUUACUUGACUUGGACUACUUGAAACCAGUUAAUCAAAAUAUGCACUUGAACUUGCUUCCAUAAAAAUAGAUACAUCUCAUUAGUGAAUAUUCUAGUGUUAUUACUGAGAAAGUUAUGUCUUACUUUCUAUUAAGGAAAAGAGUUUUAUAUUUAAUGAAAAUAAUUUUUUUAUUGCAACAAAACUUCAAAGCAGGCGAGGUUCAUAUAUCCUACAAGAGCUGAUAGAAAAUGACGAUGCUAAAGACCAUUUCUAACUGCACUCCUGUAAGAAACAGGCAUGGAACCCAGCUUAAAAGUAGAUAUAUAAUUAUUUGGCCAACUUCAUAGAUAUCCAAGACCAUUUUAUGUUCUACAAUGCCAUUUCAAAUGUUUCACAGACCUAACAAGAGAGUUUUGAUUCAGCUGUUUAUUAUGAUUUGAAGUUUCAUUCAUUCAUCUAAGAAAGUUAUGAACACAGUAGAAUAUGCAUGGAGAACAUUGGGGAGCCCCAAAAAAACAACUCAUGUGAAGACGAAAUUAUAACUUACUAAGUUUCCUUGUCUAUAAUUCGAUACUUCAUGCAUUGAGGUCGGUUUCAUGAUCUCACCUGAAUAACUGUCAUUUGAUGAAAUUAGAACUUAUUAUAUCAAUUAGUUACUUAACUUUGGACCCAUUUGACUUAAAAAUAUGGUGACCAUCAUACCAUAAGUCCUCUUAGAACUAUUCUUCCAUUAAAAAAUUUUCACCCACUUUUUCUGUUGACAUUACAUUCAUAUUUUUUAUUUGCUAACGAUAUCUAUAUUCUAUGCUAAGGUUUUGGAUUUUCACUGUAGUAUUCCAUGUACUUGUUCAUAGUCUGUCCUUGUACUUGUUGAAUUGAUUAAUUUUGUUUCUCUUACGUUUUUGACCGUAGAGCUUACUGUGAUAGGUCAGCAGCUGCUGCAGUUCCAGUGACAAUGUGAUCAAUCGAAGUGCAUCGACAUCAAACCAGCAGAUAUCCUGUUGCCUGCCUGACCUUGUUGCCAUCAUUGAUCAAAUAUUCCAGUAUGCAAACUGUUCUUCUAUCACAAAGGAGGAGCUUGUGCAUAAAAUAAUUAUGAAUACACUUGACAUUGUUGAGAGAAGUAUGCACAAUUGUUUCUAAUCCUUUUUCUUUCUUUUAUAUAAGUACCCAUAUAUAGAAGUGUAAACGAUUUUUUGUUGUCUCUAUGAAGGAGAGGUCGAAGAACAGAUAGAGCAGCUUGAAAAGUUGGUUCCAGAUUGGAUUGGCAAGAAGUUGGCACCUAGUGGUGACAUCUUGUACAAGUGAGUCUAUCAUCUUCCUUAAUUGAUUGAAUGUUAGUAAUACUAUGUUGACAGUAGCUGUUUUUGUAGGGUUUUGCACCAUUUUGCAUUUUCAAGAACUACACUAGAUGAGUAUUUUGCUCUGCUAUGGUACAACUAAAAUCAAGGGGGAAGAUUUCCUAGGGAAGGUACCAUAGGGAGAGGGAACCUCCUAUCCCAUAUGUUUUGUAAUAGAAUGAGAAGGAAGGUAAGGGAAUAGAAGUAUUAUAUUAUAAUUUUACUAUUAUAACCACAGACAUUACUCACUAUAUAACUGAUGAGGAAUUAUGACCAGGGGAAAGUUACAUAUGAAAAUUACUCCCAGGGGACAGGUAGGUACCAUAGGGAAAGGGAGCCUCCUUUCCCUUCUGGUUUUUCGUAGAACUAGAAGGAAGGGAAGGAAAGUAGAAUAACGUUUAUUUUAUAAUAUUACUAUUAUGAUCAUAGACAUUACUCCCUUAUAACUUAUAAGAAAUUGUGCAUAAGGUAAUCAUAGAAGCCUCUCAGCUGAUAGCUCAUCAGAUCUUGCAGCUCCUGAUCUGGUCAUAGAAAGAAGGAGGGCAUCUUUCAAGCCUUUAUAAAAAAGGAGAAGUGUGCUGGAGCUGUUGGAUGUUGCUCAGUGCUGUUAUAACUCCUUUUCACUUCCUCCUUUACUUCCACGCCUAGAACCCAUCCACUAUACCUUCCUCCCAGACAAGGGCUUAGUGUGGCAAAAACCAAUAAUUGCGAGGUUAUUUAUAGAGUACACAUUGCUUUAGGGCUUCAAAACUGAUCAGAAAUAGAGUUGUCAAAAAUAAAAUAAAAUAAUAAAUAAACAACGAAAUUAGAUAUAAUGCAUAACUUAAGUUGUAGGGGAAUUUGAUUUGGUUAUUUAGUUUACAUGUCUGACUCCGGUCUUGCAAGUCUCAAUUGGAAUCAUAUAUUGAGAGAUUAUUAGGUUCUCACCUCAGUUUUCAGACGUCUAUUAUAAGUAUGGGUGUUCUUUGUCUGGUUUGAUUCUGAUAUCACCGAUUCACCAGCCUAAACUGGAACUGGAACUAGAACAUACUAACAUAUGUAUAUUAGUUCUCACUUCAGAGGCUACCAAACCAGCCUAAGCUCUUGGAUCUUAGCUGAUUCUUUCAUCCUUCCUCUCAAAGUAGUAGACUUUAUUCUGCAAUUUAGAAACAUUAUAAUUUUAAAUGCCUUUCUAAGAUGACAACAAUGAGAUUAUAUAUCAUGAAUGACAUGUUCUAACCAUACCAAGAUGCCAAAAGAAAGGGGGGGAAAGGUAGCAUAUCAUGGCAAGAAAAGGAAGUAUAAGCACAUUAGAAGUUGACUUGUAAUAGUACUAAUACAUUGUUGAAUUUCUCAAACCAAUUACUUUUGUUUGCACAAUCUCAAAGCAAACAAAGAAUAUUUUACCGAGUGUUCCCAACAAAUAAAAAAUGUUUUCCCACAUGGUUUUGGGGAUAAAAAUGUUGCAUGCAUAUUCUUUCUGUCCAUUAGCCGUCUAAUUUUUAAAUUUACACUUUUAAGUUAAAAACAACUAAAUUUACUUAUAAUACUCAUGAUUCACUAAUAUUUGUAAAAUCGGGUCGGCAUUUAGUUCUGUUCUUGGUUGGUUACAAAAAUAAUGCCAGUGCAAAACACGCAAAAGUUUCUCAUCAAGUGAUUAGUCAUUAGGUAGAGAGAAGCCCAUACUAAGAAGGAAGAGGUAGAGAGCUGAUUUGGCAUCAAUAGGACUUUCCACUUACUACUAAACUAACCCAAGAUGGUUAAGAAAUUCUCCACAUCUUUCCCUUGAUCUUGCUUAACCUUUUUAUUUUUCACUAUUCCCUCCAUUGGAAAGGGGAGAUAAACAUAUGGAGGGGAGAGGUUUUUUAACUUACUUAGGGAGUUGUACCUUAGAAAUGUCAAAUCAGCUGUCGACCUCAUUUUGUGAGUUACUUUUUGGGUAUCUUUGGUACCAUUUCAUCAUUUUUGUUGCACUGUGCUUUUAUAGGCUUCUUUAGUAGUCUAGUCUCAAAUAUUAAAAGAGAAGGAUUAUUAUUGAUAAUUAUGAUUGUUCUUACAAGAACGGUAAAGUUUUAAGAUUCUAGAACAGAGGAAAAUGCUGAAGACUUCGCGAUCUUAAAAUGCCCAAGGAAUAUGUGCCUCAUAUUUUGUUUUUAAUUUGAAAAUACUCUUCUAUCUUGCGAAACGAUGAUGUUGAAAUCCAUUGAUUUGAAAAGCAACAAUAAUUAUAUUGUGCUAUGUACUCUUCUUAUAUCUUACUAUCUUACUAUCAAUGAGGAACUUCUUUGAGAGCUACUUAUUCUUGUUCCUAUUCCAUGGCCCUGUUUUUGUUUUCUUAGCUUUAAAAUAAUACCAUAUUAUGAAUCUAGUAACGGUCUCCCGUUGUUUGCAGUAUCAAGAAAGUGUCAGAUUUGAAAUCAGUUUGUGAAAGGCUUAUUUGCAUCUAGUACUGAAGUUUCUCAAGGUAUACUCUAACUUGUACUUGGCAAAAUCUUGAGGAAAUAUUUCUGCUGCAAUGUUUUUUUCCUUUUUAAUUUAAGUUUUAUUGCCUUUAUCUUUGAUGGAAAAUCUAACUUUGUCAAGGCCUCUUUUUCCUUAAUUCUCUCUCUCUUAUUUGUUCUUUUUUGACAGAACUAAUUAGAAAAUCAGAUAUGAAGCAUAUAUGCGUGGACAGUAGGAAGAUAACCAUUUGGUUGAUUGCUAUCGCUAAGUACUCCAUGCAAACUGGAUGAUUAAAAAUAUGGAACUGCAUUUCUCUCGUCCCAGUUUCUCAAUCCUGGCUGAAUGUGAAUUUAUUGUUGAACCCUUUUGUAGUGAAUGUACUUUUACUGAAUUUGUCAUUGAACUAGAAGUGGUAAAAUGAGUACUUAAAUUAUUUCUCACAUUUUCUUUUUAUCUCAUCUUUGGAAUUUAUAUUUCUAUAAUUUUUUUAUCACUCUUUAAAAAGGUUUGUCACUUUUUACCUUUACCAAUGUUUUCAGAUCCGGAUUGGUUGUUGAACAAACGAAUAUUUCCGGAUACAGUAAAAAGAUAUUUCUGUCGUUUUUUAAUUACGAUAAUACUUCCGUUGUGGGGUUCACCAAUGAUUGUAUAGUCGUACAAAUAUUCUCCGACAAAAAGAAUAUUCUACGACCAAACGAAUAUUUUUGGACACAACGAAUAUUUUAUAACAACUUGCUUACUCAGCAAAAUUUUCAAAUAUCACCCUUAACUUUAAACUUUUAUCAAUGUAACGUUUUACUAAAUAGAAUAAUAAUUAUAAAAAAAUUAAAUACUUUCAUUUCAUAAAAUUCGAGAUCUCACAAUAAAUCAUAUAGGGUAAUGAUCCAUAACAUCUAUUUGCUAUAGAUUAAAAAAUAACAAAUAAUAUGUAAAGCAUUCAUAGCAAUAAUUAAGGUCCAGAUUAAAAAACGCAUCCCAGCUUUCGCUAGUUAUUCUAGUGGAUGGGAUAAAAAUUAUUUUUGAACAAUUAUAUCCCCGCUAAGCUAAGUUGACGCACGAGGGAAGUAAGCAAAAAAGCAUCACGUUCGCUAUAGCAAGUACUCUACAACAAUGUAAUUAAAGAAACAAUUGUUACUUUGCUUAUUGGAUUCGCAACAGGUGAAUAGAUCCAAACUUAGAACCUGAACAAAUGGUGCCACUGUAGCACUGAUAGCCAAUCCAUAUCUAGAACAAACGGAUUGUGGUAUAAUCUGUUCAUACAAAUUGAUGUAUCAAUUUCAGCAAGUAACUUGUAACAUUACCGUUUUCACUUUCACAACCCUUAUUCGCAGGGAGAAAUCGCAGCUCGCAGCAGCUCCAAUUCUCCAAUUCUCCAAUUCCCAAAUCCUUUUCACUUUCACGACCAGGGAGAAAUCGCAUCGCAGCUCGCCCAAUUCCUUUUCAUCAAUUUCUUUUUCUCAUUCACAGCAGCCAUAAUUCCCCAAUUCCUAAUUCUUUUUUUACUUUCACAACCCUAAUUCGCAGGGAGAAAUCGCAUCACAGCUCGCCCAAUUUCUUUUCCUUCUCACCAGUUUUUUUUCACUGAUGAUAUACAUUCGCUACACUCAAACUUUUAACUUCUGUUUAGAGCUACACUCAAACUUGUUACUUUCUAUGACAAGGGAGAUAGAUCUCUACCACUAGUCUAUCAUUUUUGGUCAAAAGUUAAAAAAUUAGAUUCUUAGAGCAUCUUUAGCAGAUCAGAAAAGUAUUAAAUAUAGUUUAGGACUCAGAUUUUA